UCCGUUGAGAACUAGUUGUCCCGUUAUCGCGGUUACGAGACCGCUUUGUGCGCAACCUUUAUUGUCGGGUUAUAGGCACGUCCUCAUAUACACACGCGACUGUAUUUGUUUUUAUUUUUUCCAUCCAGAUUCGACCGUACCGGUUGCAGUUAAAGGAAGAUGCUGUUAACGGUAAGGCAAAUGUACAACAAUUGUCGUGCGGAGAGAGACAGCCGCGGUUAAGGGCGGUGGACGAGACUAUACGUACCCGCCUGUAAAAUAAUACAAAAUACGGUAACCGCGUACGACACGCGAACCGUCGCGACAACCGGUUACCUUAUUAUUGGUUUUUUUUUCUCUUAUAAUUAUUGUCGACUUGUUUACGGUAUACCCGUUUUUUUUUUUUUUUUAAUUGAGUGUUAUUAUUAUUGCUUUUUAACCGCCAACGAAGCGGUCUAUUUAGACGAUACGCAUUUACCGCCAAGUUGUUAUUAUUAUUAUUAUCAGCUAUUCGACCAAAGUAUCACUACCGAUCGUAUGACGGUCCUUGGCACCUGCCGAUUGUCGACGACGGCCGAAUACACCCCUACCCCCCCUCACGAGAGACGAACGGUUUUCGAACGAGAAAUUGUACCCGGAGCCCGAUUUGAAAAUUGUUAAGGCUUAUCUUAAAUCCAUCCAGUGUCGACGGGCGGGCCACUGAUCCGCAUGAGCCCUGGACACAUACCCGUCAUCACGACCCCGCGUAAAUGGGACGCUGAAUACGGGGAGCGAUGAGGUGUUAAUUUCGUUUACAGCGCACUCUACGGCGGCGGACGACUUUUUACAAUAUUCGCGUAACUACGUAUUUGUGUAAGAAGGUAAAAGACGACUGCCGGCGCCGCGUUCGGGAAAAAGUACCAUCGUGCGAACGCUGCGGCGGCCGGCGUGGGUGAAAAAAAUAAAAUUACACCCGCGGACGUUAAGUCUCAAUACAGUGUCGUACUUUUGUUUCGAUAGGAUUUUCGGCGGAGACUACUCGUUAAAAAAUUGCUUGGACAAACCGGUGUCGGUAAAGGUGCACUGUACGCGUCCUUAUCCGGAUUCGGUCGGCGCGCAACGGACGGUUUCAACCGAUAUUUUACCAUUUUUUUUUUUUACGACAUUGAAUUUCAUUCCGUAUAAAACGUUUAGAUUUCGUGGGCGUCCGCACAUAUACCUGUAUAUUACCUAUUUCCGUCAAGUGUUUACUUAUUUUAAUUAAAAUUGCUGAAUACAAACGGCGGCGGCGACGGCGAUACGCGUUUGCAUUAUACAAAAUUGGCGUUGAACAAUAUUAUUCAUUACGCGAAUCCGUUCUGUAGCGCGUGUAUACU